UCCUUCCUUUUUCUUUCCUCCUCCUCCUCCAUGAACUGAGGUUCCCCUUCCUUCCCUCAGACUACCCAGAGUUUUGCCCUUCACCUUGGCACACUGUGAGAGCUGAUCCUAUCAAGGAAGAGCUCUACUACCAACUCAGGCCAGCCCGUUGUCAAUACCACUAGUAAGACGAAAUCUCUUUAUUUUCAGAUGAAUAAAUGAAGCUCUAAUAUGCCCUCCUAUGAUCUUAAGGAAUACUAGUGCAACUCAGGGGGGAUUGCUGACCAAGACAGCAAAGUGCUCACACUCAAAGCUCAGUGGAAGCUACACCACUCAUACUAGAGACACAACUGAAGCAGGAGUUUUCACAUGUCACUUAACCAAAUACAGAGCUGGGAUGACAGGUCUGUUUUGUUCCCUCUGUGGCCUACACUGGAUGAACUCUAAGCCAUUGAUGAAUUCUUGUGUCACCAGGAGAAUGGCAGGGUAGCCACGUGGAUUUUAUUUAUUUAUUUGCAGUCUCUCUAUACUGUUUAUCAAAUGCCCACAGUGACUCUAUGAGGCUGAUAAAAAUCUCUUCCUAUGUACGGAUGAAAGAGCUGUGAGCGGAUGGAGUGUCAGAUGUGGCUGGAGCGCUCCUUCUAGUGUCACUAUGUCUCCAAUUCUUAGGUGACAAAUGGAGCUCAGACUUAGGUGACUCAAAUCCCCUGCCCUGGUGCUAGGGGCCAAGCACAGGGCUUUCCUCCCAUAUAUUAAGCAAGUGCUCUGCCACCAAAUAUGUUUUCAAAACAAACAAUUCAAUGAGCCAACCAAUCAAAAACUAGGGUCUCAUUAUGCGUCCUAAACUGACCUGGAACUUGCAAUCCUCAUCUCAGUUCCUUUCUUUCUUUUUUAAAUUAAAAGCACACCCACCCCACCCCCACCCCCCACGCCUGUGUGUGUGUAUGAUGUGUGUUGUGGACAUACAUGCUAUGGUAUGCAGAAGGAGGUUAGAGGACAACUCUGUAGAGUUUGUGUGUUCUAGAAAACAAGUCAGGCCUCCAGCAAAGCCCCAUGGACCCUCUGCCACUCCCCAGGGCUGGGACUUCAGGUGCGUACCACCACAUCUGGGUUUUACAUGGGUGCUAGGGAAUCGAAGUCAGGCGCAACCCUGUGGCGUCUCCACUCUCCACUUGGGAACUCUUGCCUUCUUUUUGUAGAGCCGAGUUUUUGCCAAGUGUGGUCUCUUUGCUCGGGUUAAGUUCCUGCAGGACUCCUACAGUGUAUCUAACAGCAGCAGGCUUUCUCUGUCUGACCACACCUCCACAUGUUUCUGGACUCUGUCCUCUCUGUGGAGUAGGUUCUAGGCUACCAAGAUGUCGUCCCCAUUGCAUUAAAGUGCCAUUCACUGUCUCAGUUUCUGACCGGGAGACUUCUGUUACCAUUUGCCUUCCUCUGUUCUCAAGGCUUGAGUCUACGAUGCUGCUCUUUAACUGCACGCAAGUCUGUAUGCUUUCUUUUCUUUACAUUUUAGAUAUUUAAAGAGUGUGAGGGUGUUCAACAGACCGACUCUGCCUGGAGUGCUCCCAGAGUCUUGGAUCUGUGGCUUUGAUGCCUUUUUGUUUCUUAGGUCUGUUCUUCUUUCUCUUUUCUGACACACCCCAAUUACACGGAUGUUGGACUGUCUAAUGUCACCUCAUAGCUCUUGGGUAUUCCACUCUCAUUUUCCACUCCUUUCUUACUGUGUUCAUUAGCAUUACUCUUAGUGAUCUGUUUUUAAAAGUCUCAUCUUCAGCCCCUUGGCUACACCCAGGACUACUGACGAGCCCGGCAUCGUGGUUCUCUGGCACAGCAUUCUAUUUGAUAUACAAGGGAAAAUAUUACUAGCAGUUUAUACACAUUGUCACCUAUUCUACCAGGUCAGGAGUUGGCAAGCUUUUUCUGUAAAGGACAAGGUAGAGAGUAUCCCAAGCUCUGUGAGUCAGAAUGCAGGGUCUCUCUUACAUUCUUCUUUUUAAAACUAUAGAUGAUGAUAUCUGUUCACAGGCUGUAUAAGCCACACUUCAGUCUGGAUUAGGGUGGGGUGUGUGUGCGUCAUACUUUCUUGAUAGUUGUCCUAGACAUUUUAAUGAUUUUAAUGUAAUGAUACUUAUAAUUUUAUAAUCAAUAACAAUUGUUAUGACUAAUUAUAUUACAUAUAAUUAUAAUAUAAAAUAUAACAUACUAUAAUAUAAUCUUAUAUAUUAUACACAAUAUAUGUCACAUAUAAAAUAUAACAAUUAUCAAUAAUGAUAAUUCAUUUUAAUGAUAAUAAUGUAAGUGCUUGGCUGAGAGUUUUAACAUCUGAAUCACUCACUGAGUCUAUUCUGCUGUUUCUUGAUUUUUGGGGGGUGGGAAUCUCACUGUGUUGAGCCCUGGACACUGUGCAGAGAGCUGUAGAGACCGAGGUGGCCUUGACGGUGGGCCAGAUUUGAGGAUGAGCGAUUACUCAGAGGGUAAGCUGGAUGCGACUGGAUGUGAGACUUUGGUUGCUAUGGCUCCUUUCAGUGUACUGCACCAUCCGAUGGUAACAAGCCUACUGCACCAUCCAAUGGUAAUGAGCCUUCUCUUAGGCCCUGCAGGUUCUGACAGCAGCACCUGCUCCCUGUCUGCUUUUGGUUAUCCGUGUAUGUGCUUUUGAUCCUUUCUCAGCAGCGGAGAGCCAUCCCUUAUGACUUAGCGCUUGCUAGGCUGGUGGCAGAAAGCAGUUACCCUGGCCCUGCUACUUUAAGACUAUGACUUUAAGGAGAUUGUAUGCCAAGGGUCCAGUGUGAGAUUUUCCCUGUUUCCAUUCCCCCUUUUCACGGCAGCCAAAUAACCCUAGGGUGAGUUUUGUGACAGACAGAUAGCUCUAAUGGUAUUCUUAAAGGAUAAUGCAGUCUUUUGACACUUUCUCCCAAAUAGGUGUUUUCUUCCAUUUUUCUUAGUAACCAAGUGUUCUAAUGGCACAAGGGGUUUUGCAUGCUAUCUCAGGCUAUUCUUAUUUAUCCUCAGACAAAACUUGGCUUCUGUUCAUUCACUUGUACAGCAGUGGUCUAGUCCUUCUAUGCUGUGCCACAUGGACCCAGCCCUGGCAUCUCACCUUAAUUUAGAGAAUAGUGGGAGAGCGUGUCUAUUCUUUCUGGAGAUCCAGGCAUCCUGCUUGCCUAUGACCUCAGCUCCCUGAUAUAUAAAAACAAAACAAACAUAAACCAACCAACCCAUCCCAGCCCCAAACAACAAAAAACCUCCUAUACAUUUGAUUUGCUGAGUAGAUAUCUUUCAACAUCUUAGGCAGAACCCCUUUCAUGAAUUUUAUUUUUUAGUAGUAUAUAUAUUGAGGUAUAGUUUAUCAUAUGAUAGAAGGUCUCCACUCGCUUUAAUUAAGGAGCUGAGAGGGUUCUGACAAAGGAGUGGCUAUUACCUGGCCUUAUCCAUCUUCUCGACACAUCCUCUCCCAUUCCUUCCCAAACAAUUCUCCCUCACCUCACCUCACCCCUGUUCUCAGCCUGAGCAAUCUGUCCAGACGGCAACAGGGCUCGCUAUGCCCUUCUCCAAGUCUUGCUUCAAAUGCACCUCCUCAGAGAGCUUCCUAACCACUCGUUAUAAAUCUCGACUUCCAACUUCCAUUCCAGUUUGCUCCCGUUCCCCUGUCCUCCUUGCAGUGGUUGGACAGGAAUGGUCCCUACAGACUCAAAUGUUUGUAGUGUCAUCGGGAGUGGCACUGUUAGGAGAUGUGGCCUUGUUAGAGAAAGUAUGUUACUGUGGAGGGGGGACUUAGAGGUCUCCUAUGCUCAAGCUCCUCCUAGUGUGAAAAACAAAACAAGACAUCCAGUCUCCUCCUGGCUGCCUGUGGAUCAAGAUGCAGAACUCCUCCAGCAUCAUGUCUGCCCACAUGCCGCCAUGUUUCCCACAGUGAUAAUGGACUGAACCUCUGAAAAUGUAAGCCAGCCCCAAUUAAAUGAUGUCCUUUAUAAGAGUUGCCUUGGUCAUGGUGUCUCUCCACAGCAGUGAAACCCCAAUUAUGACACUGUUCUUCCCCCCUUAAACAACUGGAUAGAUACUGACACAAUUUACUGUGGUUGGAAAAACUGAAGAGAAGAAAGCCCUGUGUUCACUCUUUGGAGAAAAUAAACGUUUAUGAUUCG
rnacentral:lncRNA from 1 species